GGUUCGCGGUCGCGCGGCGCAUAGUCGUGAACCUGGUCAGGGCCGAAAGGCAGCAGCCAUAAGCGAAUUCUGCGGGUGCGCGACCACUGAAUUCAU
rnacentral:SRP_RNA from 1 species